UGUCUUUUCUAAUCAUACAAGGAACUCUACGCUGAACAAUGCGUGUAAGCUUUUUGUAUGUUGCUAAAUGAAAUAAAUGUGCCUUUACUGCAUUGCUCAUUUUGUCAUAAAAUGACACGUCAACUGGCGAAGAUGUUUGCACUUACCGCACCCGUGGGCGGAGUAUGGGUUUUCUCGUUUUAUAAAACUGCGAUCUAAGACUGUAUCACUAUCGCUUUCCUUCCUUGCUUUGACUAUGCAUGACGCAGGGACAGUUUUUUCUUUUAAUAUGACACCUUCAUUAAAAGGAGAAGCGGCAUUUUCAGGGUGUAGAGCUUACAUUUGUGAGUCCAGGUUAAAUUUUAUUACUUGCUCUUUAUUUUCCUCGUUCUCUUUAUCUUAGACAGGUUUUUUUUAAGAGCUUUUUAUUUUGCAUUUAGUUUUCAGCCCCUCUCAUCUUCUCUUCAGGGGCUAGAUGAGAGUGAGUUUUAGUGUGCUUUUCUGCUAACUGAGAUCAAGUUUUUUAGACUUCAUUUCACUCUGUAAAAAUGGCGUGCUUAGUAGGAUAUUUUUUUUCCUAUUUCAAGUCUCCAAUGCUUAUUUCAAGGUAGUGCCAGUAAAAAGUGUAUUGACUUAACAAGUACACUUUCUUGAAAUUUUUUUCUCAAUUAGCUUGUCUCUUUUUUGCAGUUUUAGCUCCUCUCUUCACAGAAAAGAUGUGAGUAAUUAGGAGACUGAGACAGUAUCGGGAUGUAGAUGAUAUGUAGGCGAGUCAGGGGUUUUUCUCAGCAGUACAACCAAGCUUAGUUAACUUAUUAAUAUAGUCAGACUACACUGUUCAGCACUUCCAUGUUUGGAGGACAAAAGACCUCCAACGAGUCGCUCAAACUAAAGGACUAUUUGCCUAAAGACAGGAUGACCAUCUCUCUCUGCUGGGCGUUCGCUAUGUCUGAAGAUAGACACAGCACACAGUUUGGAUGGUUUUGUGCAAAUGCUUGGAGAAUAAGUGCAGACAAAAUGCUGUCUGACCUGCUACAUCCUGAAAAUGAAAGGGAGUUGUCCCUUAUCCGAUGUGAGGGUCUAAGGACACAAUGUUGUAUUGCUGUAAAGCCCUUUGAGUCAAAGUUGUAAUUUAUGAUAUUGGGCUAUACAAAUAAAAUUGACUUGACUUACUUCUCACCGUCGACUGGCAGCCAUCAUUAGUUGGUCAGCAACCUUGCCCCACCUCCUAUUUUAAAGUAAGGGGGACAUUCACAUAUAUGAAGGGGAAAUAGAAAUAUCGCCAGCAAAAGAUCAGAGAUGUGAAUAACGGGCCUUGGAGGGGGUGCUUCCCGUAACACCAUGGAAUGUAUGAUGCAAGACGUCGAGUUCCUGUCGUAAGACGUAAAGUGUUUUGCGUGAUUACGCAGACGUCCCACGAGAAAAGGGGGCCAAAAUGUCGGACACCGUACAAAUUACAACAAAACUUUCGAUCCAGUGCAAGGAAAAUCCUGAUGGGAAUCCCGGGAUAAUAGUGUAUGGGGAUGCAACAUUUCCCUUGCAUCCUCAGGCUAAGCCAGGGAAUUCUUCUUUUGGUGCUGCACAAGGAUUCCACAGUGUCUCUACUUCUAGCUCUGUGAGACUAAUCCAAUCCGGUCCUGGUAACACUGAGGUUGAGGACAUGGAUGUUGAACCAACAGACAACAGCAUCAGUGCAUACCUCCACCUCUCCAGGCUCUCCUCAACCUGCACCCUACUCUCGCUACAGAUCACAAUGUCAUCCGCGAACAUCAUCGUCCAUGGAGACUCCUGCCUGGUCUUGUCCGUCAACCUGUCCAUCACCAUUGCAAACAAGAAAGGGCUCAGAGCCGAUCCUUGAUCCAUGUGAGACCCCACGAUGAGGACGCUGUUCCCAUGGAUGUUGACUAGCAUGAGGACGCUACUGUAUGUUUGCUGAUCCGUCAGAUGACAUGGUGCAAUUUGAAAAUACUGAAGCAUUAAUAUUAAAUACACAAAAUAAAAAAAACUAAUAAAAGAAAGUGU